rnacentral:rRNA from 1 species
GACGAACGUUGGCGGCGUGCUUAAUACAUGCAAGUCCACUGAAGCAGUGGUAGCAAUAUCGCUGUGGAGGUGGCGCACGGGUGAGUAACACGUAGGUAAUCUGCCUUCAGGUCUGGCAUAACUCCGGGAAACCGGGGCUAAUAGCAGAUGAUGCAGCGGCUCGACAUCGAGACAGUUGUUAAAGCUAUGGCGCCUGAAGAUGAGCCUGCGUCUGAUUAGCUAGUUGGCGGGGUAACGGCCCACCAAGGCAACGAUCAGUAGCUGGUAUGAGAGGAUGAUCAGCCACACUGGAACUGAGACACGGUCCAGACUCCUACGGGAGGCAGCAGUAAGGAAUAUUGCUCAAUGGGAGAAAUCCUGAAGCAGCAACGCCGCGUGAGGGACGAAGGGCUUUUGCUUGUAAACCUCUGUAGUGAGAGAAAAAAAUCCCAAUCUUUGGGACAUGAUGGUAUCUCAAAAGUAAGCCCCGGCUAACUACGUG